AUUGAACGCUGGCGGCAGGCCUAACACAUGCAAGUCGAAAGAGUGGCGGACGGGUGAGUAAUGUAUGGGAAACUGCCUGCUGGAGGGGGAUAACUACUGGAAACGGUAGCUAAUACAGCAUACCAUCGUCUGUGCCCAGAGGGGAUUAGCUAGUAGGUGGGGUAAAGGCUCACCUAGGAGAAGAUCCCUAGAUGGUCUGAGAGGAUGACCGGCCACACUGGAACGGAGACACGGUCCAGACUCCUACGGGAGGCAGCAGUGGGGAAUAUUGCACAAUGGGCGCAAGCCUGAUGCAGCCAUGCCGCGUGUAUGAAGAAGGCCUUCGGGUUGUAAAGUACUUUCAGCGGGGAGGCGUUACCCGCAGAAGAAGCACCGGCUAACUCCGUGCCAGCAGCCGCGGUAAUUC
rnacentral:rRNA from 1 species